rnacentral:rRNA from 1 species
ACACGAGGAAACUUGUGCUAAUACUGAAUAAGCCCUUACGGGGAAAGUUUUAAUGCCGAAAGAUGAGCCCGCACUUGAUUAGCUAGUUGGUAAGGUAAAAGCUUACCAAGGCAACGAUCAAUAGCUGUUCUUAGAGGAAGAUCAGCCACAUUGGGACUGAGACACGGCCCAGACUCCUACGGGAGGCAGCAGUGGGGAAUCUUGCACAAUGGGGGAAACCCUGAUGCAGCGAUGCCGCGUGAGUGAAGAAGGCCUUUGGGUUGUAAAACUCUUUCGUCGGGGAAGAAAAUGACUGUACCCGAAUAAGAAGGUCC